rnacentral:lncRNA from 1 species
GCUUCUCCGCAAGCUUUUUCUAGUCUAACUGGACCACCGUGAGAUAUGCAAUUAUCAAAGAGAUUCAGGAUUUUUUCACAACCAAUAUCCUGCCUAGUUCUAUCAAUGAGACACACAUAAGGCUAAUCCCGAAAAUCUUAUCCCCAAAGGGAGUUGUUGACUACAGACCCAUAGCCCUUUGUAAUGUCUAGUACAAAAUCAUCUCCAAAAUUAUCUCCCUGCGGCUAAAGCCAGUACUCGAAGAGAUUAUAUCUGAAAACCAGUCAGUAUUUAUACUGGGGAGAGCUAUCUCUGAUAAUGUCUUAAUCACACAUGAAAUGCUGCAUUACCUAAAGACUUCAGAGGCAGAAAAGAACUAUUCGAUGGCAGUCAAAACAGACAUUAGUAAAGCCUACGAUCGUCUAGAAUGAACUUUCCUAGAGACGGUUCUACUCAGAAUGGGCUUUCACAACAGAUUUGUCAGCUAGAUCAUGCAGUGCAUAAGUACAGUCAUGUAUUCUUUUCUAAUCAACGACGAAGUUACAGGCUUUGUGAAACCUUACCUUGGAAUCAGACAAGGUGACCCCAUCUCGCCGUAUGUCUUCAUCAUCUGUGGAGAAGUCCUCUCUGGUUUAUGCAAGGAGGCUCAACGUGAUGGCUCAAUGAUUGGUAUCAGAGUGGCAACAAAAUGCCCACACAUCAACCAUUUGCUAUUUGCUGAUGAUACUAUGUUCUUCGUCCGCUCCAACCAGCAAAGCUGCCUUGCUCUCAAAGAAAUCCUAGCAAAAUACGAGAAAGCCUUAGGACAAAUGAUAAACCCUGAUAAAUCUUCAAUAUCUUUCUUAGCAAGAACAAGCAUAGAGGACAUAAUCUGCGUUAAACAAGUUCUUGGUAUUGAAAAAGAAGGAGGAGUUGAAAAGUAUCUAGGCUUACCUGAACUGUUUGGCAGGAAGAAAAGAGAUCUGUUUGCGUCUAUUGUCGAUCGCAUCCAACAGAGGGUUGUAUGUUACUCCUCUCGUCAACUCUCCCCAACAGGCAAACU